rnacentral:rRNA from 1 species
AGGCGUAGCGAAAGCGAGUCUGAAUAGGGCGAUAUAGUUUGUUGCAUUAGACCCGAAACCGAGUGAUCUAGCCAUGAGCAGGUUGAAGGUUGGGUAACACCAACUGGAGGACCGAACCCGCAUCUGUUGCAAUAGAUUGGGAUGACUUGUGGCUAGGGGUGAAAGGCCAAUCAAACUCGGAAAUAGCUGGUUCUCCGCGAAAUCUAUUUAGGUAGAGCGUCGAGCGAAUACCCCCGGGGGUAGAGCACUGGAUGGGCUAUGGGGACUCACCGUCUUACUGAUCCUAACCAAACU